rnacentral:rRNA from 1 species
UUUCGACACACUAUCAUUAACUGAAUCCAUAGGUUAAUGAGGCGAACCGGGGGAACUGAAACAUCUAAGUACCCCGAGGAAAAGAAAUCAACCGAGAUUCCCCCAGUAGCGGCGAGCGAACGGGGAGGAGCCCAGAGCCUGAAUCAGUGUGUGUGUUAGUGGAAGCGUCUGGAAAGGCGCGCGAUACAGGGUGACAGCCCCGUACACAAAAAUGCACAUGCUGUGAGCUCGAUGAGUAGGGCGGGACACGUGGUAUCCUGUCUGAAUAUGGGGGGACCAUCCUCCAAGGCUAAAUACUCCUGACUGACCGAUAGUGAACCAGUACCGUGAGGGAAAGGCGAAAAGAACCCCGGCGAGGGGAGUGAAAAAGAACCUGAAACCGUGUACGUACAAGCAGUGGGAGCACAGAGCAAUCUGUGUGACUGCGUACCUUUUGUAUAAUGGGUCAGCGACUUAUAUUCUGUAGCAAGGUUAACCGAAUAGGGGAGCCGAAGGGAAACCGAGUCUUAACUGGGCGUUAAGUUGCAGGGUAUAGACCCGAAACCCGGUGAUCUAGCCAUGGGCAGGUUGAAGGUUGGGUAACACUAACUGGAGGACCGAACCGACUAAUGUUGAAAAAUUAGCGGAUGACUUGUGGCUGGGGGUGAAAGGCCAAUCAAACCGGGAGAUAGCUGGUUCUCCCCGAAAGCUAUUUAGGUAGCGCCUCGUGAAUUCAUCUCCGGGGGUAGAGCACUGUUUCGGCAAGGGGGUCAUCCCGACUUACCAACCCGAUGCAAACUGCGAAUACCGGAGAAUGUUAUCACGGGAGACACACGGCGGGUGCUAACGUCCGUCGUGAAGAGGGAAACAACCCAGACCGCCAGCUAAGGUCCCAAAGUCAUGGUUAAGUGGGAAACGAUGUGGGAAGGCCCAGACAGCCAGGAUGUUGGCUUAGAAGCAGCCAUCAUUUAAAGAAAGCGUAAUAGCUCACUGGUCGAGUCGGCCUGCGCGGAAGAUGUAACGGGGCUAAACCAUGCACCGAAGCUGCGGCAGCGACGCUGAUGCGUUGUUGGGUAGGGGAGCGUUCUGUAAGCCUGUGAAGGUGUGCUGUGAGGCAUGCUGGAGGUAUCAGAAGUGCGAAUGCUGACAUAAGUAACGAUAAAGCGGGUGAAAAGCCCGCUCGCCGGAAGACCAAGGGUUCCUGUCCAACGUUAAUCGGGGCAGGGUGAGUCGACCCCUAAGGCGAGGCCGAAAGGCGUAGUCGAUGGGAAACAGGUUAAUAUUCCUGUACUUGGUGUUACUGCGAAGGGGGGACGGAGAAGGCUAUGUUGGCCGGGCGACGGUUGUCCCGGUUUAAGCGUGUAGGCUGGUUUUCCAGGCAAAUCCGGAAAACUAAGGCUGAGGCGUGAUGACGAGGCACUACGGUGCUGAAGCAACAAAUGCCCUGCUUCCAGGAAAAGCCUCUAAGCAUCAGGUAACAUCAAAUCGUACCCCAAACCGACACAGGUGGUCAGGUAGAGAAUACCAAGGCGCUUGAGAGAACUCGGGUGAAGGAACUAGGCAAAAUGGUGCCGUAACUUCGGGAGAAGGCACGCUGAUAUGUAGGUGAAGUCCCUCGCGGAUGGAGCUGAAAUCAGUCGAAGAUACCAGCUGGCUGCAACUGUUUAUUAAAAACACAGCACUGUGCAAACACGAAAGUGGACGUAUACGGUGUGACGCCUGCCCGGUGCCGGAAGGUUAAUUGAUGGGGUCAGCGCAAGCGAAGCUCUUGAUCGAAGCCCCGGUAAACGGCGGCCGUAACUAUAACGGUCCUAAGGUAGCGAAAUUCCUUGUCGGGUAAGUUCCGACCUGCACGAAUGGCGUAAUGAUGGCCAGGCUGUCUCCACCCGAGACUCAGUGAAAUUGAACUCGCUGUGAAGAUGCAGUGUACCCGCGGCAAGACGGAAAGACCCCGUGAACCUUUACUAUAGCUUGACACUGAACAUUGAGCCUUGAUGUGUAGGAUAGGUGGGAGGCUUUGAAGUGUGGACGCCAGUCUGCAUGGAGCCGACCUUGAAAUACCACCCUUUAAUGUUUGAUGUUCUAACGUUGACCCGUAAUCCGGGUUGCGGACAGUGUCUGGUGGGUAGUUUGACUGGGGCGGUCUCCUCCUAAAGAGUAACGGAGGAGCACGAAGGUUGGCUAAUCCUGGUCGGACAUCAGGAGGUUAGUGCAAUGGCAUAAGCCAGCUUGACUGCGAGCGUGACGGCGCGAGCAGGUGCGAAAGCAGGUCAUAGUGAUCCGGUGGUUCUGAAUGGAAGGGCCAUCGCUCAACGGAUAAAAGGUACUCCGGGGAUAACAGGCUGAUACCGCCCAAGAGUUCAUAUCGACGGCGGUGUUUGGCACCUCGAUGUCGGCUCAUCACAUCCUGGGGCUGAAGUAGGUCCCAAGGGUAUGGCUGUUCGCCAUUUAAAGUGGUACGCGAGCUGGGUUUAGAACGUCGUGAGACAGUUCGGUCCCUAUCUGCCGUGGGCGCUGGAGAACUGAGGGGGGCUGCUCCUAGUACGAGAGGACCGGAGUGGACGCAUCACUGGUGUUCGGGUUGUCAUGCCAAUGGCACUGCCCGGUAGCUAAAUGCGGAAGAGAUAAGUGCUGAAAGCAUCUAAGCACGAAACUUGCCCCGAGAUGAGUUCUCCCUGACUCCUUGAGAGUCCUGAAGGAACGUUGAAG